rnacentral:rRNA from 1 species
UAGCGGCGAGUGAGCGGCAAGAGCUCAGAUUUGAAAUCGUGCUUUGCGGCACGAGUUGUAGAUUGCAGGUUGGAGUCUGUGUGGAAGGCGGUGUCCAAGUCCCUUGGAACAGGGCGCCCAGGAGG